rnacentral:tRNA from 1 species
GCCAGCAUGGCAUAGUGGUUUGAGUGUUGGACUACGACUCUGGCGACCAGGGUUCGAUUCCUCACUUGGCC